AGUGAACGCUGGCGGUAGGCCUAACACAUGCAAGUCGAACGGCAGCACAGUAAGAGCUUGCUCUUACGGGUGGCGAGUGGCGGACGGGUGAAGAAUACAUCGGAAUCUACUUUUUCGUGGGGGAUAACGUAGGGAAACUUACGCUAAUACCGCAUACGACCUACGGGUGAAAGCAGGGGAUCUUCGGACCUUGCGCGAUUGAAUGAGCCGAUGUCGGAUUAGCUAGUUGGCGGGGUAAAGGCCCACCAAGGCGACGAUCCGUAGCUGGUCUGAGAGGAUGAUCAGCCACACUGGAACUGAGACACGGUCCAGACUCCUACGGGAGGCAGCAGUGGGGAAUAUUGGACAAUGGGCGCAAGCCUGAUCCAGCCAUACCGCGUGGGUGAAGAAGGCCUUCGGGUUGUAAAGCCCUUUUGUUGGGAAAGAAAAGCAGCAGGUUAAUACCCCGCUGUUCUGACGGUACCCAAAGAAUAAGCACCGGCUAACUUCGU
rnacentral:rRNA from 1 species